AUUGAACGCUGGCGGCACGCCUUACACAUGCAAGUCGAACGGUAACAGGUCUUCGGAUGCUGACGAGUGGCGAACGGGUGAGUAAUACAUCGGAACGUGCCUAGUAGUGGGGGAUAACUACUCGAAAGAGUGGCUAAUACCGCAUGAGAUCUACGGAUGAAAGCAGGGGAUCGCAAGACCUUGUGCUACUAGAGCGGCCGAUGGCAGAUUAGGUAGUUGGUGGGAUAAAAGCUUACCAAGCCGACGAUCUGUAGCUGGUCUGAGAGGACGAUCAGCCACACUGGGACUGAGACACGGCCCAGACUCCUACGGGAGGCGGCAGUGGGGAAUUUUGGACAAUGGGCGCAAGCCUGAUCCAGCAAUGCCGCGUGCAGGAUGUAGGCCUUCGGGUUGUAAACUGCUUUUGUACGGAACGAAAAGCCCCGGGUUAAUACCCUGGGGUCAUGACGGUACCGUAAGAAUAAGCACCGGCUAACUACGUGCCAGCAGCCGCCGUAA
rnacentral:rRNA from 1 species